rnacentral:misc_RNA from 1 species
UCUUUUCUUUUGAUAAGAGAGUUUUUAAAACCAGUGUUAUUUUUGUAAGUUUAAGAGAAGUUUGUGUAUUGAAUUUUUUAUUUUUAAUAUUAAAGAGCUUUGUUAAACUUAGACUUAAGUUUAGGUCAUUUUGGGGGUUUAGCUCAGUUGGCUAGAGCAUCGGCUUUGCAAGCCGAGGGUCAAGGGUUCGAGUCCCUUAACCUCCAUUGGGCUUAUGUCCUAAAUUGUAAUUAAGUAUGUUUUUAAGCAACUUUGUUAAAGUAAUUGUUAGAAUGUGAAACAGAGAAAGUUAAAAUUUCUGGGUUAAGUUGAGAUCUGUUGAUAUUAAGAAGAAUCUCUAGAAGCAAAAGCAAGCUUUCGAUAAAACCCGAAGUUGUUUCGCUAAAGUGCAAGGAUUAAACAGGAUUGUAUUUUCCAGCAGCCUAUUUUAUAAACGAUCUGCAUUUAGUAAAUAGUUUUUAGUUAAGAAAUAAUGUAGAUUGCUAAGUGUGAUGUC